rnacentral:rRNA from 1 species
UACGUAGGGGGCUAGCGUUGUCCGGAAUCAUUGGGCGUAAAGCGCGCGUAGGCGGCCCGGUAAGUCCGCUGUGAAAGUCAAAGGCUCAACCUUUGAAUGUCAGCGGAUACUGCCGGGCUAGAGUCCGGAAGAGGCGAGUGGAACUCCCGGUGUAGCGGUGAAAUGCGCAGAUAUCAGGAGGAACACCGGUGGCGAAGGCGGGUCUCUGGACAGUUCCGUGACGGCUGAGGCACGAAGGUCAGGGGAGCAAACGGG